UUUUUAAAUUUCAGGGACAUGGAUUUGCCAUUGAUGUUGGAAUCCUACGCAGCGACAAUCUUCGACACUCUGAAAUGGUUCACACACGCACGUGUAUGCUUUGAACCAAAGUUAAUAUCGCCCCUUUCCUGCGCUGAGAGAGCCUGCUUCGAUUGCUGACACCGCUGCUUGUCUAAUGGAUUGUGAGCGCCGCCACAUUCUGCCAAACAGCAUGGUAGUGCCUAGGACUUGUUUUUAGGUGAGUUGCUGCCAAAAGGUGCUGAACAUGCUACUUUGUCGCAGUGGUGGAGACAUGAUAAAGUUGCUGUCGUGCCGGCUGGCGAGAUCAACCCUGCUCCACGCGUCUGCUGCGAACUACCAUGCCAAGCAGUUAAUUGGCACUCGGCGAGUGGUGCCCGUACAGAACUUCACCUCUUCCUGGCCUUUCCAGUCCAAUUUCGCGGGCAUGUUUCAGACAAAGAAGCACAACGCUUUGUUUUGUUUCUUUCUGUACUGUGUACAUCAACGACUGCGCCUCCAUGCACUUCGGCGCCAAUGUGAAGCCAAUGUGGCCGUGCGACAAUGGACGCGACCGUGCAAAUCGUGUCAGUGCUCUGCUUUGACAAAUCUGCCCACAUGUUGGCUUCCUGUUACCACCUCCAGUCAUUUAUAAAGCGUCAUCCUCAUGAACACCUUCCGAUACGGGUAGCUUUGGCCGAGUUGUAACAUACGCAAUGCUCACCCUCCUUUCUAUGUUGGGGCUUUCCGAUAAGAUUGCCCCGCUUGAUGUGCUAUUUUGUUUUCUUUCCUUUCCUGCCAACCUUCAACUGACCGCGUAGUGCUUAAAAAUGUUUCGCAAACUGAAUAAAGGAGAUUUGUCUUCUUGA